CGGCAACAGCUCAAAUUUGAAAGCUGGCUCCGGCCCGCAUUGUAAUUUGCAGAGGAUGCUUUUGGUGAGGUGCCUUCCGAGUUCCCUGGAACGGGACGCCACAGAGGGUGAGAGCCCCGUAUGGAUGGACACCAAACCUGUGUAAAGCUCCUUCAAC
rnacentral:rRNA from 1 species